CAUCUUUUUUCUAUCUGUUAUCCUGUCCUCUUCAAUAUAGCCAAGCCUAUAGUGCCAUAAGUACUUAUGAUUAAACUUAUCUCUGGAUCUCUUUUGACCUACGGUACUCACUACUUGCUCAUUUAGGUUUACAUUAGCAUCAGCAUGCAAGUGAUAAAAACUAUCAAUCAAAAGAUCAGAUGUAACUAAUUUAUUUCAUAAAUAAAUUAAACAAUAGUCUUUAUUAAAUUGAAAAAUAAAUCCAUCCCAUGCUAGUACAG
rnacentral:lncRNA from 1 species